rnacentral:tRNA from 1 species
AGGGGUGUAGCUCAGUUUGGUUAGAGCGUCGGUCUCCAAAACCGAAGGCCCUCGGUUCGAGUCCGAGCUCCCCUGCCA